GUGUCAGCAGCCGCGGUAAGACAGGGGGCUCGAGCGUUAAUCGGAAUCAUUGGGCUUAAAGGGUGCGUAGGCGGGUUGCUAAGUGUUCUGUGAAAUCCCCCGGCUCAACCGGGGAAUCGCAGGGCAUACUGGCAGCCUUGAGGCAUGUAGGGGCGGACGGAACUGUAGGUGGAGCGGUGAAAUGCGUAGAUAUCUACAGGAACGCCGAUGGUGAAGACGGUCCGCUGGGCAUGUCCUGACGCUGAGGCACGAAAGCGUGGGGAGCAAACAGGAUUAGAUACCCUUGUAGUCC
rnacentral:rRNA from 1 species